rnacentral:lncRNA from 1 species
UAGCCGCCGAGUAUUCUUCUCCCGGACCGGCAUCAGUAACUCUGCCUUCCACUAUUGGUAAGUUCGUUUAUGAACCAUUUAUCAGUCUCAGAACGGGGAUACGCCCAUUAACGAUUUAAGGUCGUAGUUUGCUACGACAUUCGAUUUAGCAUUUCAGUCUUAGGGGGAAAAAAAAAUAUUAAUUCUGUGCAGAAUUUUAUAGAUCGUAAACCGUAAUCUCCGUACAGAUCUAAAUCCGAUGCUCUAGAAUCCAGGACUACAAACAACCUAGUCGUAUAAGGGUAUUUAUGUUUUCGAUAACUAUCAGAAAUUCUCGUCUGGUUAUUGUUGAUAAUCUUAUAUCUUAAAUAGCCCGAGAGAACGGCGAAUAAUUCGAAUUAAUUGAUCGAUGCAAUCAAAGUAUACGGAGGUGCGAAAGGCCAACAGCUGCUCAAUGACCCGCUUCUAAGCGAAAACGGGUUGCGAGGGAGAGUAACGCCAUAUUUGGAAUUGGAUAUCGACCAAGUAGGUGAGAUCGGUCUGCCUCCACGCUUACGUAAUGCCUGACCUACACCGAGUCUGACCUCUGAUGAAGAAUGGAUGGCCUUGGAGAACCGGUUUCUUCCCUGGCCUACAUUCAAUAUGAAUGGGAUAGCGGCUGUGUCCAUCUCGCACGAAAAUUAAUCUUAAAUGCGUGUUGUCGACAAUAUCAACUCCUCAUUCCGCCUCUAUCAGAGGCUCGCAUUACAAAAAAAAAUUUGUUUAAGUUCGGAAUAAAGCAAACUAUACUCGAAAAAUGACUUGUGUACCGAUAGUUCCGCAUCAUUUUAUGUAUUCAGCACUUAUUCUAACCUUUAAUUAAGAGAAAAAAAACGGC